AAAAAAAAAAAAAUAGAGAAUUAAAGAUCGCGUUGCAACGAUACGCACCGGCUAAGAGCGCAUUAAAUCGCUGCGUUAAAUCGAAUCGGGCAGCGAAACACUUUGUGCACCCAGAAACCACAAGUGAUUUUUCGUAUAUAACAAAUUGCCACACAACACACAACUAAUCAAUAUAGAAACGUCUCCCUGUUUGUCCAUCUCUCUCUCUCCGAGUGUGUGUGUGUGUGAGUGUGUGUGCGUGCGUAUGUGUACUUGCCAGUGAGUGUUUUUUUGGUCCAUUCUUUGGUGCACAUAAUCAAAUUAGAUUGGAAAUAAACUAGAGUGCAAUUAAACUAAAAACAACAAGAGCAGCAACAACAACAGCUUCAAGAUGACCAUGGCUGGGCAAACAAUCAACGACAGGCUGCUCGCAGCUCGUCACAGCCUUGCGGGCCAAGGAUUGGCCAAAUCUGUGUGCAAGGCCACAACUGAGGAAUGCAUUGGGCCGAAGAAGAAGCAUUUGGAUUAUUUGGUGCAUUGCACAAAUGAACCGAAUGUGUCGAUACCGCAUUUGGCCAAUUUACUUAUCGAACGUUCACAGAACGCCAAUUGGGUGGUCGUCUAUAAAUCGCUGAUAACAACCCAUCAUUUGAUGGCAUAUGGCAAUGAGCGUUUCAUGCAAUAUCUCGCAUCGAGCAAUUCUACAUUCAAUCUCAGCUCCUUUCUGGACAAAGGAACUGUGCAAGAUGGUGGCAUGGGCGUUCCAGGUGGGAGAAUGGGUUAUGAUAUGUCGCCAUUCAUAAGACGCUAUGCCAAGUAUUUGAAUGAGAAAUCGCUCUCUUAUCGCGCCAUGGCUUUCGAUUUUUGUAAAGUGAAGCGCGGAAAAGAAGAGGGCUCGUUGCGUAAUAUGAACGCGGAAAAACUGUUGAAGACGCUGCCAGUUUUGCAGGCACAAUUGGAUGGAUUGCUCGAGUUUGAUUGCCAGUCCAAUGAUUUAACUAACGGUGUCAUCAACAUGAGCUUCAUGCUGCUGUUUCGCGAUUUAAUUCGUUUGUUUGCGUGCUAUAACGAUGGCAUUAUCAAUUUGCUGGAGAAAUACUUUGAUAUGAAUAAGAAGCAUGCACGCGAUGCUUUGGACUUGUACAAGAAGUUUUUGGUGCGCAUGGAUCGCGUGGGUGAAUUCCUUAAGGUGGCCGAGAAUGUGGGAAUUGAUAAGGGUGACAUACCCGAUUUAACGAAGGCGCCCAGUUCUCUUUUGGAUGCUUUGGAGCAGCAUUUGGCUACGCUCGAGGGACGCAAGGUGUCCGCUGCCAAUACGCCCACACAAUCGGCGAGCUAUCAACGCACGAAUGUUAAAUCCGCUGUCUCUGCACUCUCUUCAACUAGCUCGGCAUUUGGCACUGCGGCUGCGUCCAGUAAAUUUGAUACCACCAAUGGCAUUGAUGAGCAGCUCAAGGCUCAAGUGCUCGCCGAGGAGGAAGCCGCCAUGAAUCAGUACAAAUCCAAGUUAUCGUCGCCCACCAGUAGCGGUGCUGCUGGCGCUAGCGCUGCACUAACAAAUCCAUUUCUAUCGUCACCACCAGCCUCGCAGGCUGGUCAGCCGAUAGUUGAUCUGUUUGGUGCCGCGUCGGCACAGCCCGCUGCUGCUGCAGCAGCUGCGCCCCAGGCGCUUGCCACAAAGGCAUCCGACGAUUUGCUGCAGUUGGGCAAUCCGUUUGCUGACAUGUUCGAGGCCAGUGGCGGCAAUGCUGCCGCUGCCGCCGGAGCAACAGGUGCUGCAUUAAAUGCCAAUAAUUUAUGGAUGCAUAAUAACGGUUUCAAUGGCUCAACAGUUUCCUCCGCUGCUGCUACAAAUGCAUUCGUUUCCGAUAGUAAUUUUACGUCCGUUUUUGGUAAUACGGAACCAGCAGACCCGUGCAAUGGAAUUCACCUAAAAAUACAGCGAAACCAGGUGCUAAUUGGACACCACAACCAAUGGCGGCUACAACUGGUGCUGGCUAUCGUCCAAUGGCACAUGGCAUGACAGUAAGUCCUGCGCCAAUCACAAUCAAUCAUCCGUAUAUACAUGCUAGUUAUCCUGUAAUGCCAAAUUAUAUGCAGGGGAUGCCGGUGAUGAGUCAGCAGCCGAAUAUGCUGGCACAGGCAGCCCCUUUGACUGGGGGGCAGCCGACGAUGAUGGGCACGCCGCAAAGUAAUGCGGGUGCAGCGACGGGAAUUAUGCAACCCACGCAGGCGACACAGAAUGGAGGCAACAAAAACGUUCCACUUGAUCCAUUUGGGGCGUUAUAAGGCGCCAUCAUCAAACAAACACAGAAACACAAGCACACACACACAUUAAGCGCUAUAACCUCAUAGACAAGGAACAUUACGAAUACACAUACACACACACAUAAUAUAAUAUAUAUAAAUAUAUAUUUGCAGAUAUUAUAAAAGAAAAAGAUUCAUGAAAACAAAACUAAAAAUUAAAAAUGUUUACACUAUGCUGCGUGCGAAAUGAAAUGCUAAGAAUUCUAUUAUAAUGUUGAGCAUUUUGGGCAAAUACAAAACGAAAAACAGAAAAACGAACAUAAAAAUGAAAUUGCUAUAUACAUAUACAU
rnacentral:misc_RNA from 1 species